GAUGAAGAACGUAGCGAAAUGCGAUAAGUAAUGUGAAUUGCAGAAUUCAGUGAAUCAUCGAAUCUUUGAACGCACCUUGCACCCUUUGGCUAUUCCGAAGGGUAUGCCUGUUUGAGUAUCAUGAACACCUCAACUCUUAUGGUUUGCCAUGAUGAGCUUGGACUUUGGGGGUCUUGCUGGCCUGUGGUCAGCUCCUCUCAAAUGGAUUAGCUUGCCAGUGUUUGGUGGCAUCACAGGUGUGAUAACUAUCUACGCUUGUGGUUUUCCACCAGGUAACCUUCAGCAAUGGGGGUUCGCUGGGGCUCAUAAAUGUCUCUCCUCAGUGAGGACAGCUCUUUGAACGUUUGAUCUCAAAUCAGGUAGGACUACCCGCUGAACUUAAGAAUAUCAAUAAGCGGAGGA
rnacentral:misc_RNA from 1 species